AGCUGCGGCAUCAACCCAGGACGAAGACGCAGUCAGAGGGUGGAGGAGAAUUUCGACAUGGCAGACAGUGUGAGGCCUCAGCAUUUGGUCCUGUCAGGAGAUCUGGAUUCAGCUGGUGCUUUUCUGUGGUGUUGAGGAGGCUCUUCAUCAUUAAAUGGGCCUGCUCUUUCACUGCAGCUCAACAGCUCAGUUUGCACUGUGGGAUGAGGUAGUAGGUUGUAUAGUUUUAGGGUCACACCCGCACUGGGAGAUAACUAUUCAGCCUACUGUCUUUCUCAAAGUGACAAAGACGCGUCUCUGUCGCCCCUCCAUGCUUCCUUAAUUCCAGUUUUCUCACAUCAGUGUUUUCCGGAUCCAGAAGUGUCUGUAUUCAGCAGUUAAAUCUAGCUGUUCAUGCAGUGUGAGGUAGUAGAUUGUAUAGUUGUAGGGUAGUGAUUUUGCCCUGUUUCGGUGAUAACUAUACAAUCUAUUGCCUUCCCUGAGGAGCAGCAUCUCUUCUCUUUCUUUCUAAUAAAUGUUAUUCAUACAGACCAGAUGUUCAGAUCUCUUUUAAAGAUGUCCAAGAUGUAACUGACAACUGCAUGUUUCCUCUGUGAUCACUAAACAUGUUGUGUAUUAGUUUUAUGGAAGUUCUUAUUAUAUAGUACAUAUUGUGGUUCAUAAAUGGAAUCUGCUGUGAUAUAAAUGUUGUUUUUCUUUUUUACAUUUUGUCAGUGUAAACUUAAACUUACUUGCCUCUUUUUGCACUCUCUUGAGCUGUAUAAUAAAAUCUGAUAUAAUAUGGAAAA